AGGAUUAACGCUGGCGGCGUGCCUAACACAUGCAAGUCGAACGAGGUAGCAAUACCUAGUGGCAGACGGGUGAGUAACGCGUGGUCAACCUACCGUUGAGUGGGGGAUAACUAGCCGAAAGGUUAGCUAAUACCGCAUACGAGUCUCGGGGGCAUCCCUGGGUCUUAAAAGGAGCAAUCCGCUCGAUGACGGGACCGCGUCCCAUUAGCUAGAUGGUGGGGUAAUGGCCUACCAUGGCUCCGAUGGGUAGCUGGUUUGAGAGAGCGACCAGCCACACUGGGACUGAGAAACGGCCCAGACUCCUACGGGAGGCAGCAGUGAGGAAUUUUCCGCAAUGGGCGAAAGCCUGACGGAGCGACGCCGCGUGUGGGAAGAAGGCCUUCGGGUCGUAAACCACUGUCGAAGGGGACGAUAAUGACGGUACCCUUGGAGGAAGCCCGGCUAACUACGCGCCAGCAGCCGC
rnacentral:rRNA from 1 species